AAAUAAAAUGCUUCGCUGGGCGCAGCUUGAUACGACCGCAGAGGUCGAACCCUGAACAGUUGGGGCAAGUAUGGACACAACAUUCAAGCUUGAUACAGCUCUGAAUUUGGAUUGUGAUUAAAUAUUUGACACAGCAUAGGUUCUGACACAGAAAGAAUGUGGUCUAAGAACUUCAAUUUUUUUAAUUUACCUAUUAUGGUCCAAUGUCCAAAAUCAAAAUACAUGGUUAGAUUCAGCAUAUCAAAGAACCCCA